GGCAUCAAUAGAUGGCCUCACAGGAAGAUGAAAAGCCUGAUGACUCUCAUCCAUAACGUUCAGGUACAAGCUUGCAGUUUGGUUAUUUUAUGUGUCCUGUUACUAUUUAGUGUGCUUAUAGGAUAAAUAAUCUGAAAGUUUUGAAAUAAAAUGAAUGUCAGUACUAUGGCACUAGGAUUUCAUCUUUGGUGAUGUAAUUAUGGUUUUGUAGGAGUUGGGAAAAGGUGAGGAGAGCAUGAGGGAGCUGGAG
rnacentral:lncRNA from 1 species